AGCAAGCGGACAAAGGCUUACAUGGUGGCCAAGGACAAACUUCUUUGUGAGUGUUGGAGGGACAUUGGGCAAGACCCCAAGGUCGGCGCCGAAUAAAAGGCAUCAACCUUUUGAAUCUGUGUCCACCGUGAGUUCCAUGAGCGCAAGAGGUUUCCGCCGUACCAAAUACUAAGCACGCCCGGGUGGGUGUCCAUUACGAAGCGAUGGAGGGUGAUCCAACAAGAGUGCAACUAG
rnacentral:rRNA from 1 species